rnacentral:rRNA from 1 species
UACGUAGGCAGCGAGCGUUGUUCGGAGUUACUGGGCGUAAAGCGUGCGUAGGCGGUCUUGUAAGUUUGGUGUGAAAUCUCCCGGCUUAACCGGGAGGGUGCGCCGAAAACUGCAAGGCUGGAGUAUGGGAGAGGUAGGCGGAAUUCCUGGUGUAGCGGUGAAAUGCGUAGAUAUCAGGAGGAACACCAGUGGCGAAGGCGGCUCACUGGUCCGGUACUGACGCUGAGGUGCGAAAGCGUGGGGAGCAAACAGG